rnacentral:rRNA from 1 species
CUUUGGGAUAACCCUCGGAAACGGGGGCUAAUACCGGAUACAACCUUUGGUCGCAUGACUGGGGGUGGAAAGUUUUUCGGCCUGGGAUGGGCUCGCGGCCUAUCAGCUUGUUGGUGGGGUGAUGGCCUACCAAGGCGACGACGGGUAGCCGGCCUGAGAGGGCGACCGGCCACACUGGGACUGAGACACGGCCCAGACUCCUACGGGAGGCAGCAGUGGGGAAUAUUGCACAAUGGGCGGAAGCCUGAUGCAGCGACGCCGCGUGAGGGAUGACGGCCUUCGGGUUGUAAACCUCUUUCAGCAGGGACGAAGCGCAAGUGACGGUACCUGCAGAAGAAGCGCCGGCCAACUACGUGCCAGCAGCCGCGGUAAGACGUAGGGCGCGAGCGUUGUCCGGAUUUAUUGGGCGUAAAGAGCUCGUAGGCGGCUUGUCGCGUCGACCGUGAAAACUUGGGGCUCAACCCCAAGCCUGCGGUCGAUACGGGCAGGCUAGAGUUCGGUAGGGGAGACUGGAAUUCCUGGUGUAGCGGUGAAAUGCGCAGAUAUCAGGAGGAACACCGGUGGCGAAGGCGGGUCUCUGGGCCGAUACUGACGCUGAGGAGCGAAAGCGUGGGGAGCGAACAGGAUUAGAUACCCUGGUAGUCCACGCUGUAAACGUUGGGCGC